rnacentral:rRNA from 1 species
CUUGCUCCUUUGACGUUAGCGGCGGACGGGUGAGUAACACGUGGGUAACCUACCUAUAAGACUGGGAUAACUUCGGGAAACCGGAGCUAAUACCGGAUAAUAUUUCGAACCGCAUGGUUCGAUAGUGAAAGAUGGCUUUGCUAUCACUUAUAGAUGGACCUGCGCCGUAUUAGCUAGUUGGUAAGGUAACGGCUUACCAAGGCAACGAUACGUAGCCGACCUGAGAGGGUGAUCGGCCACACUGGAACUGAGACACGGUCCAGACUCCUACGGGAGGCAGCAGUAGGGAAUCUUCCGCAAUGGGCGAAAGCCUGACGGAGCAACGCCGCGUGAGUGAUGAAGGUCUUCGGAUCGUAAAACUCUGUUAUUAGGGAAGAACAAACGUGUAAGUAACUGUGCACGUCUUGACGGUACCUAAUCAGAAAGCCACGGCUAACUACGUGCCAGCAGCCGCGGUAAUACGUAGGUGGCAAGCGUUAUCCGGAAUUAUUGGGCGUAAAGCGCGCGUAGGCGGUUUUUUAAGUCUGAUGUGAAAGCCCACGGCUCAACCGUGGAGGGUCAUUGGAAACUGGAAAACUUGAGUGCAGAAGAGGAAAGUGGAAUUCCAUGUGUAGCGGUGAAAUGCGCAGAGAUAUGGAGGAACACCAGUGGCGAAGGCGACUUUCUGGUCUGUAACUGACGCUGAUGUGCGAAAGCGUGGGGAUCAAAC